ensembl:snoRNA
AAACCUUGAUGAUGAGUUGCAUGUGAGUCCGUGUUUCACCUGAAACCUCAUGAUUAUCUUUCACUGCACUGAUGGGUUU